AAACAAACUAACAAUCAGAACAGGUAGAGGAAACAAACUAACAAUCAGAACAGGUAGAGGAAACAAACUAACAAUCAGGGCAGGUAGAGGAAACAAACUAACAACAAGGCAGGUAGAGGAAACAAACUAACAAUCAGAACAGGUAGAGGAAACAAACUAACAAUCAGGGCAGGUAGAGGAAACAAAUUAACAAUCAGAACAGGUAGAGGAAAAAAACUAACAAUCAGGGCAGGUAGAGGAAACAAACUAACAAUCAGGGCAGGUAGAUGAAACAAA